rnacentral:rRNA from 1 species
UACGGGGGGGGCAAGCGUUGUUCGGAAUUACUGGGCGUAAAGGGCUCGUAGGCGGCCAACUAAGUCAGACGUGAAAUCCCUCGGCUUAACUGGGGAACUGCGUCUGAUACUGGAUGGCUUGAGAUUGGGAGAGGGAUGCGGAAUUCCAGGUGUAGCGGUGAAAUGCGUAGAUAUCUGGAGGAACACCGGUGGCGAAGGCGACAUCCUGGACCGGUAUUGACGCUGAUGCGCGAAAGCCAGGGGAGCAAACGGG